rnacentral:misc_RNA from 1 species
GAUGAAGAACGUAGCGAAAUGCGAUAAGUAAUGUGAAUUGCAGAAUUCAGUGAAUCAUCGAAUCUUUGAACGCACAUUGCGCCCGCCAGUAUUCUGGCGGGCAUGCCUGUUCGAGCGUCAUUACAACCCUCAGGCCCCCGGGCCUGGCGUUGGGGAUCGGCGGAAGCCCCCUGUGGGCACACGCCGUCCCUCAAAUACAGUGGCGGUCCCGCCUCAGCUUCCAUUGCGUAGUAGCUAACACCUCGCAACUGGAGAGCGGCGCGGCCAUGUCGUAAAACACCCAACUUCUGAAUGUUGACCUCGAAUCAGGUAGGAAUACCCGCUGAACUUAAGCAUAUCAAUAAGCGGAGGA